GACAACAUAAAACCAAAUGAGGAGAAAAUUUUAGGUUUAGAAUUGUGUAGGGGCCGCGCGAACGCAGGACCCCACUACCACAAAUUAUGACGUAGGCUCGACCACUUGGGUCGACCUUAGGCAAGCACCCCUCUAAAGUGCAAUGAAGGUCACCAACCUAGGCCAUGGGUCUUAUUGAUCGCCCAUUGACCCCAUCCAGGUAAGUAUGUUUCAUGUAGCUCCUUGCCAUGCUUCUAUACCCCCUCCAACUCCUUUUUUUUCUUUGUGCCAGCCGAUGAGGGAAAUCCAGUGCUUAAUCUAUCCCUCUUAUAUUCUCUCCGAAACAUUUUAUUGCUACUGAAUGUUGUUUAUUUCAAGUAUAAUCAAGAUGCCUAUCCAUAUAAUAAUUUUAUGUACAAAUAUAUAAACCCCUUUCUUUCCUUUUUCCCCUUCAAUUUAAUGUCACACCAUGAUUUGAAAUAGGGCAGAAUGAAAUUAGUUGGAGAUUAAUCUGGUUUUGUUUAUAGGUAGAAGUUAACUUUAAAAGAAGACUUAUUGUAAGUAUUAGUAGAACGUAUUCUACUAAUACUUAAUAUUGCAUACGAAAGCCUAUUUUAACUCUUGUUGCUUCUCUAUACUUUUCUACUGUUAAACAAAUACAAGAAAAGUAUUAAAAUUCUAGCCAUCUUAAAAAUAACUAUCUUUUCUCUUCUCCGCUCCCCUUAUAGGUAGCAUUUUUCGUAAAAUGUUGAAAUUUUCUCCCCAAUUAUAAUGUGAACAAAUCAUGUGAUCCAUCUUCAAUGACAAAGUCAAAUGACUGGUACUGUGCUGGAUAGUGGUGGCAAAAUAGAUUAAAAAAAUAAUUAUCCAUCUAUAUUAUUGACUAAAAAAUAAAUUGGAUAAUGAACUUUUUUUUAAAAAAAGAGAGAGGAUGAAAUCCAUAUUAUCCGAUUAAAAAAUGGAGGACUAGAAAUUCUCCCAAAAAUGACCAUAUUCGGGAAGCCAUGAAUAAAUACCCAUAAUUAUCUACCGAUUAACACAUUUUCUAUCCGUAUUGAAUAUGGGCAGGUCGGAUAUUUUAUCCAUUUUUGCAUUAAUCGUUUUCAAUCCACUCAUAUCUGAUCCGAUCUGCCCGUUUGUCACCCCUAGUGCUGGAUUAAGGGUGUUUUAUACAUACAACCUAAUAUUAGAAAAAAAACAUAUGAUUACUGCAAAAAGUCACUAAACUUCAAAAUCUCAAAACCUCCUAACGAAGAACAAAGUGUGAUAUAAUCAACUAUAGGAAUACAAUGUGCAUUCCGCUGGAUAAUCUUACUCGAUUUUUAUUGUUCUGUUCAAACUUAUCAAUAUCCAGUAGGCUCAUAUUAUUAUCAAAUGGGAUGAAUUCCCUAUAUAGCUUCAGAUGUUGAGUAUCUGUUUCCAAAAGUUAAUAAGGGAAAGUUAGUCCCAACUGCAGUAAUAAAUUAUCAUUUUCAUUCACAAGGAUUAACAUAGAAAAACCCACAAAGUCUACCAGUUAAUUCCACUUAUAUCCCUAUUAAACAUCAAAGAUUAGAACUAGAAUUGUAGGGGGCACUCAACUUGAAAACCCCUCCAAAAAUUGGCAUGAGUUUUGCGUUGUGCUCACUGAGUGGCUGCAUGAGUUUUGCGUUGUGCUUAAGUACCUUUAAUAUCAACAAGAAGUUUGGGCUUACUCUUUCUUUUAUGAUGUGGGAGUCAGCUCUCUUCUUCCGCUUUAGUCUCUUCACUGUUUUGUUCAAUUAUUCUGUUCAAUUACAUUUUAAAUAGAAGCCACUUGAGGGUAAAGGCAGGGAUAAGAGGUUGUUUUAGGCUAGCCAAGAUGAGAGAGAGAAAGGCCCGUGACUUGGACCAAGUGAAGUGCAUCAAGGACGAAGAAGGUAGAGUUUUGUUGGAUGAGGCGCAUAUCCGUCGGAGAUGGCAGACUUACUUCCAUAGUCUCUUAAACGAGGACAGAGAGGCGGAUCCAGGAUUUUAAGACUAUGGGUGCACCACGAUACUUGUCAUAAUAUUAAGUGAUGUAUAUAUUUUUUUUUUUUAGUGUUUUAUGACAUAGUAAUAAAUUUGCACAUUAUUCAACGAGAUAAGCUAUAAUCUUACUAUUCUAAAUAUGUGUUUGUCAUUAAUAUUAUCAAUUAUAAUCCGACAAUCAUUGCAAAAUGUUUAUCUUAAAACAUGUUCAGGCUUUAGCAUAUAAUUCAAAAUAAAAAGGAAAAGUAGAAUACUAAUGAAAAUUUAAUACUGUAAAAAUUGAAACUUUGCAAAUUUUAUAGCUAAAAGAAAAUGAAAUUAUCAAAAAGCUCUUAGAGCAUAUGACAAGUUCUUUAUAUGUGACUUGCUUAUCCAAAAAAAGAAAAGUAUAUUUUAUCCUAUAAAUUUUGAAAUUUAUUUUUUAAUAAUUUGAUUGAAAUUCAAAUAUGUUUAUGCAAUAAUUUUGGAUAAAAAUAUUUAAAACAAGUUUCAUCAUGGACUUAGAUCUUAUUGCCACAUAAAUUAUUUAUAAUAAAAUUAAUUUAUAGUUGAUCAAGAUAAGACAAAUAUCAAUGCAAGUAAUAAGUAGUUUAAUUUCUGACUCCUUAAAUUGUUGUUUACCAUGAAGACUUGGAGAAGGAGAUAAAAAGGAAAAAAUGAUAAGAAGGAAAAAAAAUAGAACUAAAACAAAAAAAGAGCUACGAGGUACAAACUAAAAACGUAGUAUUAUAUUAAUGUGUGUCCAUGGGGUCUCGACCGGAGGCACCAAUGCCAAAAUUUGAGCAUGGGUGCCAUCUACUCUCUAUGGCUAAACCAUUAAAAAUUUGUACAUAAAUUCUGCUUUUACUUGGCAAGAGGAUGGUUGCAUGUGCCCCACAUUUGUUAACAUAGAUACGCCCCUGAACGAGGAUGGGAACAAAGACAUUGUUCUGGGUGAUUUGGGAUCCUCCGAAAGUCGUUGCGACUGUGGGUAUUGCAGGCGGAUUAGAGUUGAGGAGGUUGUGGGGGCUAAGCGUAAGAUGAGCAGGGGCAGAGUGACCGGACCAGGUGAAAUCCCGGUGGAGUUUUGGAAGAGUGUGGGCAGGACGGGCUUGGAGUGGCUUACUAGGUUAUUUAAUGUCAUUUUUAGGAAGAAAAGAUGUCCGAAGAGUGGAGAUGGAGCACGCUGGAUGUUGUGUAAAAGAAUAAGGGUGAUAUCCAAAAUUGCAACAACUAUAGGGGUAUUAAGCUGCUUAGUCAUACUAUGAAGAUGUGGGAGAGAGUGGCGGAGCUAAGGGUGACGAGAAUGGUGUCUAUUAUUAAGAACCAAUUUGAGUUUAUGCUGGGACGUUCGACUAUGGAAGCCAUUCACAUUGUUAGGAGAUUGAUGGAAUAAUAUAGGGAGAUGAAGAGGGACUUGCAUAUGGUGUUCAUCGAUUUAGAAAAGGCUUACGAUAAAGUCCUGAGGGAUAUUUUGUGGAGAUGUUUGGAGGCUAGAGGGUACAUGUUGCCUGUAUUAGGGUUAUUAAAGACAUGUAUGAGGGAGCGAAGACCUGAGUGAGGACAGUGGGAGGGGUUUCGGACCAUUUUUCGGUCAUGAUGGGGUUGCAUCAGGGGUCGGUACUCAGCCCUUUCUUGUUUGCCCUAGCGAUGGACGUACUAACUUGCCACAUCCAAGGGGAGGUAUCGUGGUGCAUGUUAUUUGCAGACGAUAUUAUUUUGAUUGACGAGAUGCGAGACGGUAUUAACUCGAGGUUAGAGGUGUGGAGACAGACCCUGGAGUCUAAAGGUUUCAAACUGAGCAGAACCAAGAUAGAAUACUUGGAGUGUAAGUUUAGUGGUGGUGCUCAGGGAGUGGAAGGGGAGGUGAGGCUGGAUUCACAAGUCAUCCCUAGGAGGGGGAGUUUUAGGUACCUUGGGUGUAUUAUAAAGGGGGAUGGGGAGAUUGAUGAAGUUGUCACACAUCGUAUUGUGGCAGGAUGGAUGAAAUGAAGACUUGUUUCCGAUGUUUUGUGUGACAAAAAGGUACUACCAAAACUUAAGGGUAUGUUUUAUCGAGUGGUGGUCAGACUGGCUAUGUUGUAUGGGGCUGAGUGUUAGCCAGUCAAGAGCUCUCACGUCUACAAGACAAAAGGUAGCAGAAAUGAGGAUGUUGAGAUGGAUAUGCGGGAACACCAGAUUAGAUAGGAUUCAGAAUGAAGUUAUUCGGGACAAGGUGGGUAUGGCCUCUAUUGAGGAAAAGAUGCGGGAAGCAUGACUUAGAUGAUUUUGACAUGCGAGGAGGAGAAGCACAGACGCUCCGGUAAGGAGGUGUGCGAUAUUGACAUUGGAGGGCCUUAGGAAAGGUAGAGCUAGGUAGGCCGAAGAAGAGUUGGGGUGAGGUGAUUAAGCAUGAGAUGACGUAGCUACAACUGACCGAGGACAUGACCCGUGAUAGGAAGGUGUGGAGGUUGAAGAUUAGGAUAGUAGGUUAGGCAGUCUAGAUUAUUUAUACCGGUAGUGUUAGUACAUACUCUCGCAUUUGGUUAGUAGUAGGCUUAUUUGAAUACGUGUCAUUUUUUUUAUAUUCCGAUCAUCUUACUAUCUUGUUAUGUAUGCUACUUUUACAUAAUUUUUCGGUGUUGUCCCGUCUUAUUUCUUAUUAUUAGUGUGGUACAUGUGCUUACCUGAGCCGAGGGUCUAUUAGAAACAGCCACUCUACCUCCACAAAGGUAGGGGUAAGGUCUGCGUAUACACUACCCUCCCCAGACCCCACUAUGUGAGAUUAUACUGGGUAUGUUGUUGUUUAGAUACUGGAAGCUGGAUUAUGUAAUGCCGCAUGCAGAGGGAGAUUCAAGAUUUGAAGUUAUGGGUUCCUAUGAUAACUUUAAGUAAAUUUAUAAUAAUAGUUGGGUUCACAGUUAAAUAUUUAUAGAUAUUUAGUGAAAUAUUUAACACAUACACUGUCUAGGCAAAAGUUAUUGGGUUCAUGUAUACCCGUAUGUCGUAUGGAAAAUGCGCCCCUGGUCGCAUGGAAUGUAUGCUGAUAUCUUGAGUUUCCAAUGCAUGUUUGUUUUUAAGUGAAUAAUGGAGGACCCAAUUGAGACAAUCCGAAAACAAAGCAACUGCCAAGAUGCGCGCAAACUGAUUUAGACACCAUUGUUAUAGAAACAAAUACAUUGCAUCCCUUUUACCAUCUUUAGGUUGGCUCUACAAUGGAAUUUAGUAGUGUUAAGGGAACUUGUAGAACUGGAGCUAUGACCUUGAAAUCCUAAGUAAAAUGAAUGAUGCACCACCCUAGAAGAAGAAUAUUCUACUAUUAGUAAAAUGGCUCAAUAGAUUAAUCGAUAAUGUGAAUUCAACUGUUGAUUUCACUAUGGAAAUUGACGAAAUUUUUAUAGCUAACGGUUUCCUUAGAAAGUAUUUUCAAACAACCAACAUACUUAUUUUCUCACAAGCAUUUUUCUAAAGAUAUUGUUCUCAGAAGAAAAACACAAAGGAACCUACAUCCAUACAAUUUUCUUUGUUUUAUUAUGAAAAUAUUAUUGUGGAUAUUCAUUUAUUAAUCCGAUGUAGAUAAUCUUCCUGAAGAAGAAUAUCUAUUUAGUACUUCAUUGAAGUUUAUCUCCAAGCAGCUGAUGCAGGCAGGUUGCAAGCAACUCAAUGAAAUGAUUUACAACAGCUUCUUAUUAAGCAGGCAGGUUGCGAGCAGCUCAUGCAGACAGCUUAGAAGCAGCUCAAAAAAAGCCCUGCAGAUGCUUCCCGAAAAGCCUCGCAGCUGCUUCCUUUCUUCUAAAAAUAGAGGAGAUUUUAGUUCACUAUUAGAUCAGUUUGAAGUCGAAUAAUAUAUUAGUCUCUCUCUAUACUUGUCUUCAGUUUAUUUACUUUACAGUUUUUAUUUUAUAAUACGUUAUCAUCAUGAGACUCUACAAUUUUGAGCACUUACUUCGAAUUUAAUUUCUAUUUCAGUGUCCACCUCCGAUGUAAGGCGACACUCUUAUGUUCGUGGUUAGAUCUUGUUUAUUCUAAGUAUUGUAAGGCAGAUUAUAUCUUUGAAGUGGUGAGCUUUUAUUCUUGACAGUGGUAAUGUAGAUAUCACUUAUGUUUGGAGUGACCAAAUUUAUGUAAAGUAAUUUGAGCUUUUUGCUUAUAUUUGAUUUAAUAUCUUUAUCAUCA
rnacentral:lncRNA from 1 species